AGCCCCCCCUGCACCCCACACCAGCCUCUCCUCCCGCACCCCACCUCCCUCCCCGCGGGGUUGCGGCACCCCGAAGCGGGCUGGCAAGCGGCUGGGGACGGCAGGACGGACAGCAGCGCCGGGGACAGACAGACAGACAGACAGGCGGGCAAGCCGGCCGGCAGGCUGCCUUGGAGCUGGCAUAACAAGGGGAGACACCAGAGAAGGUACACCAGGUCCUGGUUCUGUGAUGGCCACACCACCUCCUCCACGAAAUCCUCUGCCCAAGGCACCUCCGGAGUUUGGUUUUCUGUUGUAGAAGGACUUAGGUCAGCAUCCGACGGCCUUGCUGCUGCUCACCUUAGGGUGGCCGAAACCAAAGUGUGGCUGAAACUGAAGCUUGCUCAAAGCUGCACCAAAUGGAGAAAGAUUUAGGAUGAAAGGGUGUGCACAGCCUCUUCUGCCAGGCUAUGGUAUUUACCUGAAAGUUAGGCUUUCCAUGAAACUCUGCCAAAGGGCUCUGUCUCCAGAGCCCUUUGGCACGCCUGCCACGUGUAAUGGAGAUGGGCAGCAAUUCCUGAGCUCGCAGAGCCCACUUUGCUGGUGGAAAUCACAGCAGUGGGGCUGUGCUGUGUGGGUAUUGUGGCUCCGAGGAGCACGGCCUGGUGCCACGCCACCAGGGUGACACGGCUUUGGGGACAAAAUAAACCUGGGCGCGGCGCUGGCUGCUCCGUGCCAUACGGAUGUAGCAGCUCAUUCUGCUGCGCGGCACUUGCGUGCCAAAAUGAUGACAUGAGGUAAAAAACAGAUGGAGGGAAUCGCCUGCCUGUGGGAGAGAAGCGCGGAGGAACAGGACUGUGGCUGUGAGAAGCAGAGAAACCUCUGACUUUCCCUUUCUUCUGGCUGCUCAGCGUCAGUCCUAGCAGUCCUGUGGUGCCACGCAGCUUUGCUACCUCUGCCUUAAGGGUAAAUAAAUAAGGAAACAAACCCUUUGCCAGUCCCUUGUGAAGGGCAUACAAGGCCUGGGUAAAAAUCUGAGCAGACUAUUGCUGGAAAUGUGUUAACCUCUCAUCCCGGCAUCAUCUGGCACCGAGUUACUCAAAGUCAUGGAUUAAAUCCAGUGCGGAUCCAGUAAGGGAUUGAGCUCGCCGUGACACUGCAGUGCCAUGUCCUGAACUGAUCUCUGCCUCCUGCCAGUGGGUGAAACACCUCUGCUAAAACUGAUACCAUUGAAAGACACGACUGUGAAACUCUAGAAUGUGUCUUCACAUAAUAUAUGUAUUUUUAAUGAUAAAUAGAAAAAAGGAAACAGAAACAAUCCAGUGACUAAACGUCAAGAUUUAGCAGUUUAGGGUGUUUGAAGGACUUGUCUUCAGCUCCCAGGAUAGGCAACGUGGACAGACCUGCUGUGGGAGGGUGCUGGGGAAAUGGCCCCAAAGUCAAGGCUGAAGGAGAACUAGCGGUGGGCUACCGUCCCCAGGAAAGCAUCUUAAAUAUUUCUGAAAGGUGAUGUGGCUGGUGACAGCUCUCUGCUCUCUGAAAACCGGAACACGCUUCCAGCUGCUGUGAAAAACUAGGGCUCUGCACUUGUUAAAAAGGAAUGUGUGCUCCCAUGUACGUUUUCCAGCAACCUCCUUAGGCAAGAGGAAUUGUUUUAAAAUGCCGUAGAAGAGCAAAAACAGAAGUCUGAUCGCAAUUGGCACAUGGAGUAUAUCAAUGUAAAGUUGAGUCACCCAGGCAAGAUGGAGAUGCAGCAUUAAUCUUCUUCCUCUCACUUUUGCAUCUGUGCCACGUACUGUGACAUUAUCUUUACUAGGUUGGCAGCAUUUGAGCAGCCCUCUGUCUUGGAGGUUAUAGAAUUUCAGUUUGUGUUUUGAAGUGUGUACGAUACAAAAAAGGGAGAAUGGGAGUACUUUUUUUUUUUUUGCAAUAAAAAUUCCAUCAGGAGCACAUUCUUUUAUUAUGAAGUAUUUAAACAACAACAACAGAAAAAAAAAAGAAAUAAAAAAAGGCUUGGCAGGCUAAAAGUUUGUCCAGUCCCUAAUCCGAAAAAAAAAAUAAGGAAAAAAAUAUACUAUUUUUACAGUUCUAUGAAAAAUACAUCUUAAAAGUCAGCAAUUUGAGAAUAUGGGCAGGAGAGGAGAGAGAAAGUGAGAGAAGGCUGAUGAAACACAUCUAUUACUAAUGAAGAGAAGAGAAAUUUCUCCAGCAUUAGGAAAGCAUUGCUAAAUACCCAUAAAACGUACAGUGGGAGCUGCAAGAAAUCGUAAAGUUGGUGGUCUCUCAUCAGUGGGGUUUUUUUAAAGCUAUUUGGAGACUUGGCAAAUGUGCAUGGGCAGGAUUAUAGGACAGUCUUCUUGGAUAAUAUGAAACUGAGGAACAAUAGUGAAAUGAGGUAACAAAUGAGAACUAUUCACACCCAAUGUGCACUGGAGUCACAUCUGUCAUUGGCUUAACUUUGUAUUUCUUUUUAAAUGCUUGUUUUUUACAUAACACAGUCAAUAUGCACUCAGAGGGAAAAGUGCUUAUGGCAGUCAGCAGCUUUAUUUUAUUCUCUUAGACUAAAUGAUGAAAUUUAAUCUUUCUCCUCUCCUCUCCUCUCCUCUCCUCUC